CUUUCCAGUUCUGUACUUCUUAGUUCUAUUGUCACAUAAGAACCCUCCCAGUUCUGGCAUUCUAGGAUCUAAGCUCUAAAAUCUCAAGAUAUGUUAACGAACAGAAGUAUCUUCCAAGAAACUGAAAAAUGACUUGGCUUUCCCAAUGGUUCAUCCUUUUCCACUUGAUGAGGAAACUGAACCUCAAAGAAGGGAAAUGAUUCAUCCCUGCCUGGCCACACAUCUUGGAAGGAGCAGACAGAGAAAGACUGAAACCCAAGACAUCUGAACACGCAAUCCAGCAUGACUUCCACCUACACCACAGAAUGUUGAAAUGAAUGGAUCUUAUAAGACACAAUGAAUAUCACUGAAGACAAAUGGGAUAUUUGGCCUGAAAGGGACCAUAGAAAAGAGAAUGUUAGAGUGAAAAGUAAUUUUAGGACAUCAAAUGAUAGGACUUGAAAGGACAAGGAUGAUUUCCAAUCACUACAAAAUCCCAAUUGAGAAAGCCACAGAUUGGAGAGGAGAAGAAUGAGAAGGGAGUGAGCCUAUUUUGCCCAACUGCGCUGGAGCUUGGGGAAUGGGUCCUGUGUUGGCACCCCCAGAGAAAUGUGGAAGAAAUGAAUUGGGUUGUGCCAGUUGACUCUGGGCUCAGGUUGGGCUUGGGCCACUGCUGGAGAAGGACAGGCCUUUGAGGAAUUACAGAAUUCCACAGAUAAAAGGCACCCUAGAAAUCACCUACAACUUUCCACAUCUUGGGGGUUAGGGGUCCAGUGUCCCUGCAAUUUGGAAAAUCUGUAUAAAAUUUGUUGGCCCUU